rnacentral:rRNA from 1 species
UAAACUGAAGAGUUUGAUCAUGGCUCAGAUUGAACGCUGGCGGCAGGCUUAACACAUGCAAGUCGAGCGGUAGAAAGUAGCUUGCUACUUUUGAGAGCGGCGGACGGGUGAGUAAUGCGUGGGAAUCUACCUGGUAGUGGGGGACAACAGUUGGAAACGACUGCUAAUACCGCAUACGCCCUACGGGGGAAAGCGGGGGAUCUUCGGACCUCGUGCUAUCAGAUGAGCCCGCGUGAGAUUAGCUAGUUGGUGGGGUAAAGGCCUACCAAGGCGACGAUCUCUAGCUGGUCUGAGAGGAUGAUCAGCCACACUGGGACUGAGACACGGCCCAGACUCCUACGGGAGGCAGCA